UUUCAAUAGAUUUCAAGUGGUCUGAGAGGAGAUGAGACUUCUGUAUUCACUCUUUGCCUGUUUUUUCACGCUAUAACAAAUCUAC